rnacentral:rRNA from 1 species
GACGAGAGCUUGCUCUUGUUGAUGGCGACCGGCGCACGGGUGCGUAACGCGUAUCCAAUCUGCCGCUUACUCGGGGCCAGCCUUGCGAAAGUAAAAUUAAUACCCGAUGUUGUGCAUUGAUCGCAUGAUUGGAGUACCAAAGAUUGAUUUCGGUAAGCGAUGAGGAUGCGUCCGAUUAAUUAGUUGGCGGGGUAACGGCCCACCAAGGCGACGAUCGGUAGGGGUUCUGAGAGGAUGAUCCCCCACACUGGUACUGAUACACGGACCAGACUCCUACGGGAGGCAGCAGUGAGGAAUAUUGGUCAAUGGCCGAGAGGCUGAACCAGCCAAGUAGCGUGCAGGAUGACUGCCUUAUAGGUUGUAAACUGCUUUUAUGCGGGGGUAAAGUGAGGCACGUGUGCCUUUUUGCAAGUACCGCAUGAAUAAUGACCGGCUAAUUCCGUGCCAGCAGCCGCGGUAAUACGGAAGGUUCGGGCGUUAUCCGGAUUUAUUGGGUUUAAAGGGAGCGUAGGCGGAUUUUUUAGCCGGCUGUGAAAGUUCGGGGCUCAACCUCGGAAUUGCAGUCGGAACUGGAGAUCUUGAGUUGGUGCAGCGGUGCCGGAACUCGUGGUGUAGCGGUGAAAUGCUUAGAUAUCACGAAGAACUCCGAUCGCGAAGGCAGGUGCCGGGCGCCGUACUGACGCUGAGGCUCGAAGGUGCGGGUAUCGAACAGGAUUAGAUACCCUGGUAGUCCGCACGGUAAACGAUGGACACUCGCGGUUCGCGACAUUUAGUUGUGUGCCGCUUAGCGAAAGCGUUAAGUGUCCCACCUGGGGAGUACGCCGGCAACGGUGAAACUCAAAGGAAUUGACGGGGGCCCGCACAAGCGGAGGAACAUGUGGUUUAAUUCGAUGAUACGCGAGGAACCUUACCCGGGCUUGAACUGAGCAGGAAGACAGGCAGAGACGCCUGUUGUCUUCGGACCUGCUUGGAGGUGCUGCAUGGUUGUCGUCAGCUCGUGCCGUGAGGUGUCGGCUUAAGUGCCAUAACGAGCGCAACCCCUUCCCGCGUUUGCCCCCGGGUCAUGCCGGGCACUCCGCGGGUACUGCCUCCGUAAGGUGUGAGGAAGGUGGGGAUGACGUCAAAUCAGCACGGCCCUCACGUCCGGGGCUACACACGUGUUACAAUGGGGGGUACAGCGGGCAGCGGCCUGGCAACAGGUAGCCAAUCCUGAAAU